rfam:Melipona quadrifasciata isolate 0111107301 unplaced genomic scaffold scaffold142, whole genome shotgun sequence.
GCCUUGGUAGCGCAGAAGGCAGCGCGUAAGUCUCAUAAUCUUAAGGUCGUGAGUUCGAUCCUCACCCAGGGCA